GCGCGGGUGGCGGAAUGGCAGACGCGCUACUUUGAGGGGGUAGUGGGGCGACCUGUGAGGGUUCAACUCCCUCCCCGCGCA
rnacentral:tRNA from 1 species